rnacentral:tRNA from 2 species
GCGCGCGUAGCUCAGUGGUAGAGCAUUCCUCUGAUAAGGGAAAGGCCGAAGGUUCGAUCCCUUCCGCGCGCACCU